rnacentral:rRNA from 1 species
CAGCAGCCGCGGGAAUACGAAGGGUGCAAGCGUUAAUCGGAAUUAUUGGGCGUAAAGGGCUCGCAGGCGGUUUCUUAAGUCUGAUGUGAAAGCCCCCGGCUCAACCGGGGAGGGUCAUUGGAAACUGGGAAACUUGAGUGCAGAAGAGGAGAGUGGAAUUCCACGUGUAGCGGUGAAAUGCGUAGAGAUGUGGAGGAACACCAGUGGCGAAGGCGACUCUCUGGUCUGUAACUGACGCUGAGGAGCGAAAGCGUGGGGAGCGAACAGGAUUAGAUACCCCCGUAGUCCCUGUCUCUUAUAC